GACGAACGCUGGCGGCGUGCUUAACACAUGCAAGUCGAACGGAAAGGCCCUGCUUUUGUGGGGUGCUCGAGUGGCGAACGGGUGAGUAACACGUGAGUAACCUGCCCUUGACUUUGGGAUAACUUCAGGAAACUGGGGCUAAUACCGGAUAGGAGCUCCUGCUGCAUGGUGGGGGUUGGAAAGUUUCGGCGGUUGGGGAUGGACUCGCGGCUUAUCAGCUUGUUGGGGGGGUAGUGGCUUACCAAGGCUUUGACGGGUAGCCGGCCUGAGAGGGUGACCGGCCACAUUGGGACUGAGAUACGGCCCAGACUCCUACGGGAGGCAGCAGUGGGGAAUAUUGCACAAUGGGCGGAAGCCUGAUGCAGCAACGCCGCGUGCGGGAUGACGGCCUUCGGGUUGUAAACCGCUUUCGCCUGUGACGAAGCGUGAGUGACGGUAAUGGGUAAAGAAACACCGGCUAACUACGUG
rnacentral:rRNA from 1 species